rnacentral:rRNA from 1 species
UAUCAAUAAGCGGAGGAAAAGAAACUAACAAGGAUUCCCCUAGUAACGGCGAGCGAAGCGGGAAGAGCUCAAAUUUGAAAGCUGGCGUCUUCGGCGUCCGCGUUGUAAUCUCGAGACGUGUUUUCCGUGCGGCUCUAUGGACAAGUCCCUUGGAACAGGGCAUCGUAGAGGGUGAAAAUCCCGUACUUGCCAUGGAAGUACCGUGCUUUGUGAUACACGCUCCAAGAGUCGAGUAGUUUGGGAUUGCUGCUCAAAGUGGGUGGUAGACUCCAUCUAAAGCUAAAUAUCGGGGAGAGACCGAUAGCGAACAAGUACCGUGAGGGAAAG